rnacentral:rRNA from 1 species
UACGUAGGGAGCAAGCGUUGUCCGGAAUCAUUGGGCGUAAAGCGCGCGUAGGCGGCCCCGUAAGUCCGCUGUGAAAGUCAAAGGCUCAACCUUUGAAAGCCGGUGGAUACUGUGGGGCUAGAGUCCGGAAGAGGCGAGUGGAAUUCCUGGUGUAGCGGUGGAAUGCGCAGAUAUCAGGGGGAACACCAAUAGCGAAGGCAGCUCGCUGGGACGGUACUGACGCUAAGGCGCGAAAGCGUGGGGAGCAAACAGG